GACGAACGCUGGCGGCGUGCUUAACACGUGCAAGUCGAACGGAAAGGCCCUGCUUUUGUGGGGUGCUCGAGUGGCGAACGGGUGAGUAACACGUGAGUAACCUGCCCUUGACUUUGGGAUAACUUCAGGAAACUGGGGCUAAUACCGGAUAGGAGCUCCUGCUGCAUGGUGGGGGUUGGAAAGUUUCGGCGGUUGGGGAUGGACUCGCGGCUUAUCAGCUUGUUGGUGGGGUAGUGGCUUACCAAGGCUUUGACGGGUAGCCGGCCUGAGAGGGUGACCGGCCACAUUGGGACUGAGAUACGGCCCAGACUCCUACGGGAGGCAGCAGUGGGGAAUAUUGCACAAUGGGCGGAAGCCUGAUGCAGCAACGCCGCGUGCGGGAUGACGGCCUUCGGGUUGUAAACCGCUUUCGCCUGUGACGAAGCGUGAGUGAUGGUAAUGGGUAAAGAAGCACCGGCUAACUACGUG
rnacentral:rRNA from 1 species